rnacentral:rRNA from 1 species
GACGAACGCUGGCGGCGUGCUUAACACAUGCAAGUCGAACGGAAAGGCCCUGCUUUUGUGUGGUUCUCGAGUGGCGAACGGGUGAGUAACACGUGAGUAACCUGCCCUUGACUGUGUGAUAACUUCAGGAAACUGGGGCUAAUACCGCAUAGGAGCUCCUGCUGCAUGUUGGGGGAUGGAAAGUUUCGGCGGUUGGGGAUGGACUCGCGGCUUAUCAGCUUGUUGGUGGGGUAGUGGCUUACCAAGGCUUUGACGGGUAGCCGGCCUGAGAGGGUGACCGGCCACCUUGGGACUGCGAUACGGCCCAGACUCCUACGGGAGGCAGCAGUGGGGAAUAUUGCACAAUGGGCGGAAGCCUGAUGCAGCAACGCCGCGUGCGGGAUGCCGGCCUUCGGGUUGUAAACCGCUUUCGCCUGUGACGAAGAGUGAGUGACGGUAAUGGGUAAAGAAGCAACGGCUAACUACGUG